rnacentral:rRNA from 1 species
AACGAACGCUGGCGGCGCGCCUAACACAUGCAAGUCGAACGAGAAGGCGUAGCAAUACGCUUGUAGAGUGGCGAACGGGUGAGUAAUACGUGGGUGACCUACCCUCGAGUGGGGAAUAACCCGCCGAAAGGCGGGCUAAUGCCGCGUACGCUUCCGUCCUCACGGGGACGGAAGGAAAGCUGUACCGUGGGUACGGCGCUCAAGGAUGGGCUCACGUCCUAUCAGCUUGUUGGUAGGUAACGGCCACCAAGGCUACGACGGGUAGCUGGUCUGAGAGGACGAUCAGCCACACUGGCACUGCGACACGGGCCAGACUCCUACGGGAGGCAGCAGUGAGGAAUAUUGCGCAAUGGGCGAAAGCCUGACGCAGCGACGCCGCGU